rnacentral:rRNA from 1 species
GUCUACGGCCAUGCUACCCUGAACAAGCUAAGCAGGGUCUGGCCUGGUUAGUACUUGGAUGGGAGACUACCUAGGAAGAGCAGGUGUUGUCAGCG